AGUGAACGCUGGCGGUAUGCCUAACACAUGCAAGUCGAGCGGCCACACAAUAAGAUUUCUCCCCUACCGUUGGCGAGGGACGGACGGGUGACAAAUAGAUAACAUACUUCUAUUACUUGGGUGAUAUCGGGGGAAAACUGAUGCUAAUAGCUCAUAUGACCUACGGCUGGAUUCAGUAGUGCUAGGGAGCUUUCCUGAUUCUAUUAGACGAUGUCGGAUUAGCUAGUUGGCGUGGUAAAGGCACACCAAGGCGACGAUCCGUAGCUGGUCUGAGAGGAUGAUCAGCCACACUGGAACUGAGACACGGUCCAGACUCCUACGGGAGGCAGCAGUGGGGAAUAUUGGACAAUGGGCGCAAGCCUGAUCCAGCAAUACCGCGUGGGUGAAGAAGGCCUUCGGAUUGUAAAGCCCUUUUGUUGGGAAAGAAAAACAGCAGGUGAAUCUACGCACGUCUUGACGGUACCCAAAGAAUAAGCCACGGCUAACUACGUG
rnacentral:rRNA from 1 species